rnacentral:lncRNA from 1 species
GAGCACACUGGAAGGCUGAGUGGUGGCAGUGGUGGUGAUGGGGUGUUGGGCUCAGCCAUCAGAGGUUGGGGUGGUGGAAGGUACAGGAGAUGGGGUGUAGGAGAGAGAGGAAGAGAGUCAUCUAUCAACACCUCAUUGUCGUCUGAAUCCAUCAGGGCAGGCAGGUCACUGACAUCUACACCUUUUAUGUCUGCCUGCCUCCAUGUCCAAGGUCAAGGUUCAUCAUCUGCUGUGGUUGAUGUGGCUGAUGCAAAAGCUUGAAAUAUGACGGUAUGCUUGACUGCUUAACCUUAUAACGCUUUGAUACAAAACAAACGCUGAACGCUAUUUUCGCUUUUCUCCUUUUUCUGUAAAAGCAAAAAUCCUCUUCGAAUUUCUUUCAUUUAGCAAAAACAGGCACUAAUGUAGGUCUCUAGUAAAAGCAAAGUGGCGUAAAGUGAACUUUCAGACAGCAGGGGAAACCUGUAUUUAACUACCUUCUCUCAGCCCCUACAUCCCACACAUUCUCCUCCAUAAAAUCAGCUAGAAUUCUCCGCGUGGGAAGGAAGGGAGAUGGGGAGGAAGAGAGACUCGCACCUGAGAAGCCAUAUCAGAAUAUCAAUAGCACGUGUGGCAGUUUCCCAUCAUGUGAUUCUGAUCAAGCAUCCCCGCCACGGGUUGACUCCCAGCCUCCUGCUGAGAGUGUCCCUGUCACAGAGGUUUAUUCCAGUGGAGGAUUUGGACAUUCAGAGAUUUAGCUGAAAUGCAUGUGAAUAGAUUACUACUAAGAGAUUUACCUUGAAAUAUUUUGAGAGUAACUCUCCUGAGAUGCUGAAAACACUUCAACCUCGACAUUUCGGUAAAAAGAGCCUCUAGGUCCAUUGGUUCAACAUCAGGUUCUGCUGCUAUGAUCGACUUGCUGGCUCAACUCUGCAUUAUUGCCACUCUGGGACCCUGAGCUUCACAGACUCCUUCCUGAUCGCUGAGCAAUCUCACAGAUGUGGCCCAGCGUCCAAGAUGACAUUUGGACUGCUGAAGCUGACGAGGACAAAAAGAGAAACGAGGGUGGGGAAGAGAGAGAGAGGCAAGAAGAUUUUGGAGCAGACAAAUGACAAAAUAUAAGGCGUUCUUCAGUAAAAUUCACAUGGCAACAGCCUGUAGAUGGACAGGAGUGGGAAGACAUGAACUGAGGAAGCAAGUGAGAAGACGUGGUCUAAGUGAGGUAAGAAGAGAUCCGGACUAGGGUGAUAGCAGGAGAGACAGGACAAAUGGCAUUUAGAAAUAUUGCAGAGGUGAAAUGAAGAGGAAAGGCCAAUUUGAUAUCCCCACCUCUAAGGGUUAAGAGAUUUAUAUGUCAAAGAACAUGAAUAUAUCAGAAUAGAAGACAUUAAAUCACACCACGUUUUGGAAGUGCCGAGCAAAUAAUGUCUUCAUUUUGUCUGUAGAUGAUGCGCUCUUCCUUUU